AUAGGUGCUAGUUAGGAGCCCAUAGUUUGUGGCACUUUGACAGCAGUAUAUGCACAUUUGUGCAAUUCAAACACACCUAUA
rnacentral:tRNA from 1 species